UUCUAGCUCUGCGGUACAGCAUCUGCUUUGGAUGCAGAAAGUCCUGGGUUCAACCUGCAGCACCCCAAGGUUAAAGCUAA